CAGACCUGUUCACCCAGGACCAGAGGGACAUGGUCUUCUGAGGCAGCUUCAGUUUAGCCCUAAGAAAUCCACAGGAACAAAUCAGUUUGAUCUUCCAGCAGGAGACCCUCAGCCAUGGCCUCACUGGAGUCAAGAGUCCUGAGGGCAGAAUUUCCAAGGUCCAAACAGGAAUCCAAACCUCCCUGGCAGCUGUGAGCAGCUCCAGUCCUUCACCCUCUUUCUACUCCCAGGGGGAUCUCAGGACUACCAGGCUACAGAGUCACAUUCCUCCCUCACAGGCCUUUAAGAUGUUGGAAGAUCUGUCCCAGCCAUUCCCUCCCCAUGGAACAUAAAAUAGAAUUCUCCUUGUCAGCCCAGCUCUGACCUCCAGGUUCUGAGUGAGGCAGGUCAGGCACCUGGAACUGACUUGCCAUGGCUCCACAUGGUAAACACAAAAAGCAAAGCUGAGGUUAAAAAUUAUGAAAUCAACCACUGUCCCAACAAGCCAGAAGGGUUUCAUCACUGAUCUUCCCCAUUACAUGCUUGCAGGAAAGAAUUUCAGAUAAAACUAUUGAUCCAGAGCAAUCCUUUCCUGGCACAGCCAGUAAUGAAACCAGCACUGUCAGAGCUUUUAAAAAGCACAGAGCUCCCAUUUUAAUGCAGCAGUGCUGUUUCACCACUGAGCCUGCAUUUCAGCUGCUUGUGUGCCUGCAGAACACAAUCCCCAGCUCCUAUGAAAAGCCAGGUAUUCCCUAAAUUUUGGGAUGGGCUUUUCCCACGCAGAGCCACAGAUAAAACCAAUUUAGAUUCCUGAAUCUGUCCUUACAAACCCUGGUAGCUAACAGCAAGCAUGGGCUCUGCAGCCAGAGGUGUGAGCAUGAGUCAGCUGAGUCAGCAGCAUUUAUGAAAUAAAUGUCAGGUUAAAAGAGGUCACAAGCACUUAGAAGGGAUGAGUAGGAUUGCCUGGAUAGGGCUGUGGGGAUAAAAAUAUAAGAGGGGAAAAGCACUGGACCAAUUCCUGGGGAAAACAAGGAGAUGACAUUGUUUUAACCUCUGGAAAUGAGGUGUGGUAUUGGAAAUUUGCAGCUGGAAAGAAAAAAAAAUUGCUAAAAAAAGGAAAAGACAUCUCUGAGUCCCCUUUUCCAUGGGGACCCAUUUUUACCCAAUAAAACUCUCUAAAUUAGCUUGGCUGCAACAGACACAGGAAUAUACCUUCAACACAUGAUCCAAAAACCUUUUCUUAGCCCAGAUUUCCUCCCUCCUCCUGAUUUAUUGGAGGAACAUUCCUCUACCAUGAAGAAACAGAGUCUUCCAUGGGCACAAGUGAGGCAGACCAUGGUGGGCAGUUAUUGAUACUGCCAGAGGUAUUUAGUGAGCAAUCUGUAACCAGUGAAUGAGCAACCCAAGAUUUUCUGCAGAUUUACCUGUCAAUGCACUGAGCAGCCAGACAAGCUGCAGUCAGCAGCUCCUUGAUGUGAGUGAGCCAGUUGGAAGCUUCCAGUUUACUGAGCCAGCGGUCCAUGUUGUGUGACUGGUCAUUGCAAGCCUCCACCAG